GCGCCGGCAAGAACGCGCGUCUCUCGUCGCAGCAGCGCCGGAGUCCGCAGCGCCCACUUUAAUCUCAUUAACGCUUUAGGGCUUCCUCUCUAAUUGAGUUAGACGUUGCUGAACUACGUUUGUGGCUCCCCGCGUUAUUUUUUUUUCUCAACAGUACUGGGAUAUACAGUGUUUUUUUUUAUUGUAUUUGCAUAUGCUAAGCCUAAGGGCUCCGCUGGAUCCUGUCAUUCUCUGGCUUUAUUUUUUUUUCCAGAACCUGACGCUCGAGUAACUAAGUAUUGGUGUGUGUCACUGCGGAUCUGCCAUGUGUUUCCCUGAGCUUUCUUCCAAGGCUGGGCACUCAACAUACCUCCCACUCUACCUGCAUGGCUGCGCUUAAUACCUGUCACCAGGAUGAAGCGCAAGGACUCUUCAUCAGUUUUCAUCCAGAGGCUGGUUAUACAGAAAGUGAAGUUUUAUGCUACUGUUCUUGUGUCUGGGAAAAUACAAAGAGACUCUGUGUGUGUAAUGGCAACAAAGUAUGAGACAAAUGUCAAAUUCAUCCAAGACUUGUGAUAAAGAUGUGUGAUAAAUAACUUGUGAGCCCCUGUCAUGUGGCAGUUCUUCAGCAGAGCCUACUCAAGUGUGAACUGGUUAAUGAGAAACCGAAAUGAAAUGAGUUUGGUAGAGACCUGAUGAGGACAGGCAGGACAAGGGC